CAAUAGCGUAUAUUAAAGUUGUUGCGGUAAAAAAGCUCGUAGUUGGAUUUCUACCGAAGAUAGCCGGUCGGGUCUUCGACCUUGUAUCUGGUUUUGUCUUUGGUAUCCUCAUAGGGAACGUUUCUGCGCUUUAUUGCGUGGUGCGGUAUCUAUGACUUUUACUUUGAGGAAAUUAGAGUGUUCACGGCAGGCAAACGCCUUGAAUAUAUUAGCAUGGAAUAAUAACAUAGGAUCUUCGUCCUAUUUUGUUGGUUUCUAGGGCUAAGAUAAUGAUUAAUAGGGAUAAUUGGGGGCAUCUGUAUCAACGCGUCAGAGGUGGAAUUCUUGGAUUGCGUUGCGACAAACUACUGCGAAAGCAUUUGCCAAGGAUGUUUUCAUCGA
rnacentral:rRNA from 1 species